GUGGUACUCCUUCCGUCCAACAAAAGAUGUCUCAAGUUUGUCAAAAUUUAGGUGUAUCUAUACAUGACUUGAUGUAUAAAUGCAUUCAAAUUUAGUCAAAGUUGAGACAUCCUUUGCUGGACGGAGAAAGUACAAU
rfam:Brachypodium distachyon strain Bd21 chromosome 1, whole genome shotgun sequence.